ensembl:lncRNA
GGAUAGGACAGGUAGACUGACACGUGAGACAGUGGUUAGGAUAGGACAGGUAGACUGACACGUGAGACAGUGGUUAGGAUAGGACAGGUAGACUGACGGGGAACUGGCAUCAGUUUAGAAUUUUACAUCAUAACGAAUAAGAUUGUAUGAACAGAUCCUAGAUCCGGACUCCUUCUCUAGGACACUGACCAUAUAUGGACAGAUCCUAGAUCGGCACUCCUUCUCUAGGACACUGUGACCAUAUAUGGACACAUCCUAGAUCGGCACUCCUUCUCUAGGACACUGUGACCUUAUAUGGACAGAUCCUAGAUCGGCACUCCUUCUCUAGGACACUGUGACCAUAUAUGGACACAUCCUAGAUCGGCACUCCUUCUCUAGGACACUGUGACUAUAUAUGGACAGAUCCUUUACUCCCUUCCACCUGCAGGGGGCAAAGUGGAGCACUGAUGGGGCUGAGAGCUACAGUGAAGAGACGAGGGGGAGGGGGACAGUUCAUUCAGGCAAUGUGAAAUCAAGAAUGGAAAUGGAAAUGGAAUAUAUAUAUAUAUAUACACACACACACACUAAAUGUGAAUAGAUCUGUAGAUCUUGGAGAGUGGUCUGCAGUGUACAUACCAUAGCAGGGUGGUAGUGUAGCACUGCACCACAUGUGUACAUGGUGCUGAGUCAGCUCUUUCCACUCUCCCCUCUAGUGAAUGAUGCUGAGUCAGCUCUUUCCACUCUCCCCUCUAGUGAAUGAUGCUGAGUCAGCUCUUUCCACUCUCCCCUCUAGUGAAUGAUGCUGAGUCAGCUCUUUCCACUCUCCCCUCUAGUGAAUGAUGCUGAGUCAGCUCUUUCCACUCUCCCCUCUAGUGAAUGAUGCUCUUCAGACGUACUGUGUACUGGAAAACAAAAGUGGAUUUUGAUAUUUGUAUUUAUAACCUCUCUCCAUGUUUUAUCAUCAUUUUAGAUUUAAUUUAUAUAUAUUUUUUAAAUAAAUGAAACAUUUUUCGACCUAUCAAUGCCAUGUGGGAGCAAAAUAUGCGUGUUUGCCGUGCAUUCUAUGGUCAUGCACCCGGUGUUGCCAGUCUAUUUGGUCAUGCACAAGGUGUUGCCAGUCUAUUUGGUCAUGCACAAGGUGUUGCCAGUCUAUUUGGUCAUGCACAAGGUGUUGCCAGUCUAUUUGGUCAUGCACAAGGUGUUGCCAGUCUAUUUGGUCAUGCACAAGGUGUUGCCAUCGGAAAGGCUGUGUUUCUGUUCUGUUGUAUAAAAAACACUGCAGUGCUUUAGGCCUGGCUAACUCAUUGAUCCUGCUUUGUAGUGUCUACCCCUCUGGUUGCUUGUCAAAGUUAGCUGGCUAACUCAUUGAUCAUGCUUUGUAGAGUCUACCCCUCUGGUUGCUUGUCAAAGUUAGCUGGCUAACUCAUUGAUCAUGCUUUGUAGAGUCUACCCCUCUGGUUGCUUGUCAAAGUUAGCUGGCUAACUCAUUGAUCCUGCUUUGUAGAGUCUACCCCUCUGGUUGCUUGUCAAAGUUAGCUGGCUAACUCAUUCAUCCUGCUUUGUAGAGUCUACCUCUCUGGUUGCUUGUCAAAGUUAGCUGGCUAACUCAUUGAUCAUGCUUUGUAGUGUCUACCCCUCUGGUUGCUUGUCAAAGUUAGCUGGCUAACUCAUUCAUCCUGCUUUGUAGAGUCUACCCCUCUGGUUUCUUGUCAAAGUUAGCUGGCUAACUCAUUGAUCAUGCUUUGUAGAGUCUACCCCUCUGGUUGCUUGUCAAAGUUAGCUGGCUAACUCAUUGAUCAUGCUUUGUAGAGUCUACCCCUCUGGUUGCUUGUCAAAGUUAGCUGGCUAACUCAUUGAUCCUGCUUUGUAGAGUCUACCCCUCUCGUUGCUUGUCAAAGUUAGCUGGCUAAAUCAUUGAUCCUGCUUUGUAGAGUCUACCCCUCUGGUUGCUUGUCAAAGUUAGCUGGCUAACUCAUUGAUCCUGCUUUGUAGAGUCUACCCCUCUGGUUGCUUGUCAAAGUUAGCUGGCUAACUCAUUGAUCCUGCUUUGUAGAGUCUACCCCUCUGGUUGCUUGUCAAAGUUAGCUGGCUAACUCAUUGAUCCUGCUUUGUAGAGUCUACCUCUCUGAUGGUUCAGUGUGGGACGGAGGAUGGGAAGUUUCAUCGGUAGUCUGAGACUGGGAGAAAACCUCGUGCUCGUUGCUUUCAACCUCUCUUCUCUCGUGCUGGUUUUCCUCUGGAGAUAUUGGUUCCUCUAAAAGCUUUACAUUUGUUUUAAUGUGACUACAUUUAUCACAUUUAGUUUCCUGUUUGCAAUUAACCGAAUUGACGAUCCGUCCAUCAAAUCUGUUGUUGUGUGAAAUAGGCUACACAGUUUUGUUUUGGGCUCUCGAAACCCUGGGAGAAUAGGGUCCCAGUCCAAAGGGCCAUUAUCAGUUUACGCUGACUAUCUAUACUGAAAGGCAUUCUUCCUGUUGGGGGAAAGAUACUUCAAGGAAAAGAUACUGUAGAUCUAUCACCUAGGCUAGGAACAUGGAAUCCAAAGAACAUUCACCCCAACUGUUCUAUAAUGGAACAUAGAACUGUCAUAAUAACCUAGUCUGAGUACCAGUCUCUUAGCUAACAUUCUACUCCUUGCCAUUACCAUAUUUGGCACAUGACAACAUGUACGUGACAAUUAAUAUGUUGAUUUGAUUUGUGUAUAGGGAGUGGAUUCUCUAGAGACUGGUACCCAGGCUAAUGAUAACCUUGGAACUAGCCUAACUAAGAGACUGGUACCCAGGCUAAUGAUAACCUUGGACCUAGCCUAACUAAGAGACUGGUACCCAGGCUAAUGAUAACCUUGGACCUAGCCUAACUAAGAGACUGGUACCCAGGCUAAUGAUAACCUUGGACCUAGCCUAACUAAGCAUGAUGCAGUCUUAAACGGUAAUACUUAACCUUACAUAGGUAAUAUACAUAUCUAAAAGGUGUCAUUCUUGUCUCUUGAGGUACCAAGUAAAGAUGGCACCUUUUUUUCUUCUCUCUGGGAAACUAGUCUGUAGAAACUUUAACCAUGUCAGUGUUUCCGUGCAUCUAAUAUUGAUUUGUAUGCGUUGUGUUGAGAAGCUAGCCCACACGGUGUUUGAGGCUUUGCCAAGACACUUUAAUUACUUUCAUUUCCGUUUGUAUUUUUUUAUCUAAGGUUUGAGGUUGUUUUUAAGUGUGUGUGUCAGUGUGUGUAUGUGAAAGUCCAUCUCUAACCCUGCCUCUAUAUUGUCAGUAUCUUGGCUCAACAUUCUCUCUGCUCUGUCAGUGAAACAACUGUUUUUGCCAGUUUUUUUCCCCCCAGAACAUCUGUCAGAAUUUAAAAUGGAUAUGCAGGAAACUCUGGUCGACAGGUACGACUCUUGACUUUGACGUUUGAUGAAAGCCAUGGCUACAAUGGUUCCCUUAAUAUCCUGUGCUGUUACUCUUAUUCUGGACAUGUAUAACUCUCAAGAAUUGAAUCUCCAGAAUUGACGAUAUUCCCCAAGUUUCUCGAACAGCUACAUCCAGAUGUUUGAAGAGGGGAAAAAAAGAAUAUACAGUAAUUCAAUAAAAAUAUGAACAAUAAAAUCUGUAUGAGAAGUCGCUAGUUCCACAAGUAGGUUCUGGGUAAUCUUGUGCUAGACUGAGAAUCCAGCUGUUUCUGUGUUGAAGAGGGAGGGAGUAAACUACCGCAGUGUUUUCCAAAACACCAUCCGUCCCUCCAGCUGUCCAUCCAAACCCUCUCAUUCUGUCUGUUUCGUUCACCUCCAAUGUGUCCCUUUUCAUUCGGUUUUAUUGUCUCAAUACGUUGUGCAAGAAAAAAAGGAUUUUACAGUCGGUAAAUCCCCCUCCCCUUGAGGUCACAAACUGUACCCUGGCAAUGACCAAAUGAUUAUCUCUUAUUAACCGUUAUCUAUUUCAUUUUGAUCAGACAUCAAAUCAGUCACUCGAAGUCUGUUUUUUUUUAACUUGUAUGAAUAUUUUUCUUGUGAAAUAAUUGCUUGUUAAAGGUUGUGUGAGUUAGAUGCACUGUUCUUUAUUAGACAGUUCACUGUUCUCUUGAAGCAACCCCCAUCCACAAGAACGCAAACCUACAAUAAGUAAUUCUACGUUAUGCAUGCAACAAACCCUAAACUAACUCAGUUGAGUUAAAUACAUCUGGGUUUCAGGGUGGCUACAGCCAGUAGCUGGAUCAGGUGUUGUCACCAUGUUAGCAUUUUCCUUUUUAUUGUAAAUUGUUAAGAAAUUCAAGCAACUAUUUCAAUUGUGUUGAUUGGUGAUUUGUGAGCCUGUUCAGCUCUUUCCAGGUUUUGUGUGUGUGUGUGUGUGUGUGUGUGUGUGUGUGUGUGUGUGUGUGUGGCAGCAGUAGUCUUCCUCAGUCAUGCACCUCUCUCCCUCAUACAGCCAUCUCUCUGAAACUGCCAGUCAGCCACUCCACAUAAUGCCAUGCAGAUCCUCUGAUGUCACUUCCCGACUUCCUAUUAUAUUUACUGCUUAUCAUCAUUCAAACUAUGUUUGGAGAGAAUGUAGUUACUGUUCCAAAUGACAAGAUACCACAAGAGAGCUGAACAACUCACUGUGAUUAUCUAGUCAAUGAGCUGACGAGGAUGGAUUUAUGGUUCUCAUUAGUAUUGUGUGUGUGUCAUUUUUUUUAAAGAUUUAAGUUUCAAACGAUUUUUGAUUUAAAUGUAGAUUUCUGGAAAUUGUCUGUCAGCUGUUCUCUCUCUCACUUUUUUUUGUUUGUUCCUGUAUUGUGAAACGACAGAUAGAUCUCUCCUGGAAUCUAUGCAAAUAUGUUCUGGUGUCCUAACGCCAAGGCUGAAACGGGAGACGGACUGAGUUAACCUGUAAAUAAUGUAUAAACCAAUGGGUCUUUAGAAAUACAGGGGCAUAUGAAUUAAUCAAGAGGACUGAAUGAAACACAUGCGAAAUGAAUGUCUGAAAUAUUUUUAUAUAAUUUAAGAGAGAAGAAAAACAUGAAACAAAAGCAAAAAAAAAAAAAAACUUUGUGGGGAAAAAUCUGGAAGAAACAGAAAAUAAAGGGAAGGUUUUUAUUCAUUUAUAAAUGUUUUACCUGGCCAUAUGAAUUGUGUCAUGAUGUUUCUUUAUUUAGGCUUUUCUCUCCUGUGUCAAUUAAGCUUCUGACACACCACACAGAACAGUUGAUAUACAGAUCAGCUUCCCACUUAGAGAUGAGCUUGCUCUGUCUUUCACCUGUUAUUCUCCUUUUUAAUCAUUCACACUGUGUGUGUGUGUGUGUGUGUGUGUACUCUAUUUCACAGCAGAACAUUCUACAGAUAUUUAUUAACGGACUCAAACUCUUGUUUAUUAGCCUAGCUCCAAGCGCUGGGGUGAUUGAGUGAGUGAAUCUCAUGCAUGUCUAGAACAUUCACCACUGUCAGUGUGUUGGUUGAUCUAGAACAUUCAC